rnacentral:lncRNA from 10 species
UGCUCCACAACCUGUAGAUGGCCUAUUGCGGAACCUUGUUAUUGUGCUGUGCUUCAUGGCAUUUUAUAACCAGAGGAACCCAGAAGUUGAAAGAGAACUGUUAUUAUUAUCCCACCUUAUUUUGACAUCCUUAUAUCAAGAUUAGUACUAUAAAGAGCUUAGUCAGAAAAAGGGAAACCACAUGAGUGAUUUUGGAGGGACAUAAUUAAAUAUAAGUAAUUGGGUAAACAGCAAUUGAAGAACAGAACAAGUUAAGGUAGACACCACGCUACUAAUUGGCUACUAAAUAUGAACUACUAAUUGCAAAAAAAUGAUUCCAUUCAUGAAGCUAAGUAGCAAAUGGAAAAGACUGGAGUUAGCUGAACCUGGAAGAUGGUAGGACUGGCCCCAUGGAUCUCACACUCAGAAUUCUAACAAUAGGUAUUGCUCAGCCAGUGCUGGAAGUUUGAGACAUUUGCAUAGAGCUCAAAGAACUGGAAUCCAGAACCCUGAGUGUAACACAGCAGACAGCAGACAAUGAAGUUUUUCUGGGGAUGAGGUCUGGUUUAGCAGAGAUACGGUUCCUAUAAAGUAGAGUGAAAAAGAAGAAAGGAUUUGGAAGCUGAAAGACAACAAGUUAAAAAUUGAUGGAGUUUGAACAUCUUGCUGCUUUUUUAUUGGUUUACUUUUUUUACAAAGUCGAUAAAGACAACAUAAUAAAAUAAACAAAACAAUAAGCAAGGGGGUGGGCCACUGUCAACACUACCUCCAUAGC